rnacentral:piRNA from 1 species
UGGACUCUAAAUGUUAAUGUCAUCAGCA